UGAGGAAUAUUGGGCAAUGCCCGAAAGGGUGACCCAGCAACGCCGCGUGGAGGAUGAAGGUCGUAAGAUUGUAAACUCCUGUUAGAGGGGAAGAAUAGUACCGGUUGGACCGGUAUAUGACUGUACCCUCAGAGAAAGCCCCGGCUAACUACGUGCCAGCAGCCGCGGUAAUACGUAGGGGGCAAGCGUUGUCCGGAUUUACUGGGUGUAAAGGGCGCGCAGGCGGGAUAAAAAGUCAGUGGUGAAAUCCUACAGCUUAACUGUAGAACUGCCUUUGAUACUUUUAUGCUUGAGUUCGGGAUAGGGAGACGGAAUUCCAGGUGUAAUGGUGAAAUACGUAGAUAUCUGGAAGAACACCAGUUGCGAAGGCGGUCUCUUGGUCCGACACUGGCGCUGAGGCGCGAAAGCGUGGGGAGCAAACA
rnacentral:rRNA from 1 species